CCUACGGGAGGCAGCAGUGAGGAAUAUUGGUCAAUGGACGAGAGUCUGAACCAGCCAAGUAGCGUGAAGGAUGACUGCCCUAUGGGUUGUAAACCUCUUUUAUAAAGGAACAAAACGAGGCACGUGUGCCUUUUUGCAUGUACUUUAUGAAUAAGGAUCGGCUAACUCCGUGCCAGCAGCCGCGGUAAUACGGAGGAUCCGAGCGUUAUCCGGAUUUAUUGGGUUUAAAGGGAGCGUAGAUGGGUUGUUAAGUCAGUUGUGAAAGUUUGCGGCUCAACCGUAAAAGUGCAAUUGAUACUGGCAGUCUUGAGUACGGUUGAGGUAAGCGGAAUGCGUGGUGUAGCGGUGAAAUGCAUAGAUAUCGCGAAGAACCCCGAUUGCGAAGGCAGCUUACUAAACUGUGACUGACAUUGAUGCUCGAAAGUGUGGGUAUCGAACAGGAUUAGAUACCCGAGUAGUC
rnacentral:rRNA from 1 species